GGGCCUCUGUCUGGCACUUGCCGGGGUUUGUGGGCCAGCGUGGUUUCGCACGAGCCAUCCCCCGGGACCUGACCCCACGUGGACGUUAGAGGAGGCAUUUGGUUGGCAAGGUUCUGCAGACAUAAGACAGGGGAAUGUAUCUUCACAGCCAGGGAACGUGUGUUCUCACAAAUUGGCAUUGCGCGGUCACUUUCCCCCCUGGAUGAACCGCACUGGCUUGAGUUCAAGGUUCUGUCCGUGGCGAGUCUACUGAGCGGAUUUGCUGCUAUGGUGAUCGCAGCCGUGACCUUGACCAAAGUACACAACUCAGACAUGGCCCCAAAACACAUAUUGCUGAUAUCAAGUUCGGCAUUUUUCUCCACACUUUCUUUUUCAAUCCUUUUUGUGCCAGUCCUCAAAGUUGCACACGUCACGACCAAAACCUCGAAUUUUGGAAAGGCCGCUGACUGUUGGUCAUUCGUCCUGGCAACUUCCGGUGCUGCCUGCAUGUUCACCUCUAGCGCUGCUUUCUUUCUCGCGUUGACAAAAGCCGCUUUUAAUCUAUGUGACCAGAAAAGCAGACGUCGUGAACAUCAUCGGCGUCGUGAUGAAUCCCUUCGACGAAAUGAAAUUAUUGCAAGACACUUUCAUGACACAAACAGAGCGUUCGACAGUGCUUCUGAGGAAAACUCAAUAGUGAACAAUGAACUCAGAGUGUCAGCAGAUAGUGAUUCAACAUACUCGGUGAUUUCAA